rnacentral:rRNA from 1 species
CAAUAGCGUAUAUUAAAGUUGUUGCAGUUAAAAAGCUCGUAGUUGGAUUUCUGGUCGGAAGCUCCUGUCCUCUGAUGAGCGUACAAGUGCGUCCUACCAUCCUUCUGCUAACCUUUAAGGCUUUCGCGGCUUUCUAGGGGCUCAGAUAUUUUACCUUGAGAAAAUUAGAGUGUUUCAGGCAGGCUAGCGCCGGAAUACAUUAGCAUGGAAUAAUGGAAUAGGACUUUUGCCUCUUCUGUUGGUCAUGAGGCUCGAGUAAUGAUUAAUAGGGAUAGUUGGGGGCAUUAGUACUUAACUGUCAGAGGUGAAAUUCUCGGAUUUGUUAAAGACUAACUUAUGCGAAAGCAUUUGCCAAGGAUGUUUUCAUUAA